rnacentral:lncRNA from 1 species
CACUGAAAUGACCAGCCAUGAGAACAUCUUAUGGAUUCUUACUUAAUUGUCAAAAGAUGGUUCUCAUAGUGAGAGUUGUGCAAGUGAUCCUUAGACCUGAGAUCACCAUGGUACCUUAUGCACUUGAACCUAUAUUUUGGUUUACCCUCAUUCACGACAUUGCGUUGUGUACGGGGUAUUCUGGAUAUGGUGGAUUUUGUACGAAGGUUGUGAGUAGGUCAAUAAGGAAUCAGUCAUUUCUAGUAAGAGAAGGUAACGUACUACUUACUCUAAUCUUAUGAUGAUUCAAGAAGUCUUUGAUCAAAGCAAAAUGAAAAUUAGAAAGAGUUUCUAAUGUUUCAUUGUUUGAAUUAUCAUAUAAAAGAUUGAGAGAGGCAUGAAUAAGUGAUUGAGUUUGAUAUUGAUCCAUACUCAUGCACUUAUUCAGGAUGUAGUAUGACUGAGGAAUUGAAUUGCACGGUAAUUUGCCACUGAAGGGUAUGUUUGGAUUUGUCCAAUACAUUUCUCAUCUUCCGGGUAGACAUGAUACGUUGCUAGACGUCAAUCUUGUCUUGUGGGUUGAUCGGAUCAAAGAGUUUGAUUAGAUCAAAGCAUCAGAAAGGUUCUGAUUGCUAAGUCAGGUUUAGCACUAAAUUGAACCUAAAUUGGAUUAGAGGUAUUCUAAUCAGGU